CUUACUCUCAGUAGUCGCAAUAUCAUCACUCCAUUAACACGUUGAUUGAAGGUAAAUAUGAUGUAAUCAUGUAAGACUAUUGUGAGAUAAAUUAAAAUCGGUUUAAAAUUUACAAUUUUAAAAAGUUAGCCAUUUUUUUCUGAGCACUUCACCUCAUGUUUUGCUACAUUUUGUUCAAUGUCUAAUUCUUGUACUGGUUUUUUUCUGGUUGUGUGUUAUUUAUAAUAUAAAAAUAUGUAUGAAAUAACAAUAUGCUUCCUUGGGGAGAUAACCUAAAAUACUAUUCUUUUGAAUAAAGACUUUUUGAAACCAAAAAGCGAUUAUCUCCCCUUCCUACAAACAUAUUGCAAUUUCAAAUAUUUUACUGAAUAUGAAAUGUUUUUAUUCACAUAGUGUGUGAUUCUUAUAAAUAUAGAAUACUUUUCGAAAGAAAAACUCUAUAAAAGCUUAGUUUUGACAUUUUUAUAGCAAUUCAAAAUAAAACAGUUCACCUUUAGUAUGGUAAUGGCAAUAAUAUAACUAUACAGAUUGAUAGACUGAUUUAGGAAAUACAUCAAUACAGUGGAGUUACAGACUUAUAGGAUUGUAAGUAUGAUUUAUUUUAUCACUUUGCACUUUCACAUUUUGGCUGAACAGUGUGUUCAAAUUUCUGACCAGUUGAACAAUUUGAUUUAAUAAAACAAAUUGCAAUUGGGUCAAAAUUUUGAAUGAGUUGCAAUUGGUGAAUAGCAACACUAACAGUCAAGUCACUGUAAAUGGUUUGUGGUCUUAAAACUGUCUUAUUCGUAAACAUAAUUCUGUUAUAAAGCAAGUCAUAAAAUAAUGACAAUACUUCAUUUUUAAUUUUAUUGAUGUACUUUAUACAAUAUUUUUUUUAUUUAAAAUAAUAAAUGUAAACAUUUUUUAAACCAGCGCCUGCAAACAUGUUUGAACCUGCCUUAUCUAUUAUGUAUUGUUCCCAAGUCUUGAACAUGCAAUUAAAUGGUAGCUGUUUGAUGAUGGAUAUAUCAUAUAUUGUGUAUUUAUGUUUUGUUUGUUUUACAUUUCGUUAUAUCCUGACAUUGAAUAGCUUAUUAUGCUGUAUGGGCUUUACUCAUUAAUAACUUGUUGUUGGCCUGGCCUAUACAUGUAGUUGUGAACAUCAACGUCAUUUAGUCUCUGUAUAUUAUAUUUGUUUCAUAUGAAUAGAUCGCCAGCAUGAGCAGCUUACUUUGAUUAUUUUUUUAAGGAUACGGCGAUACAGCUGUGUAGCAAAAUUGAACAUCAAAGUGAGAAAUCAUAUAAUAUAAAUAUAAAUAUAUAGGUCUAAAAUUAAUCAAAGAAUGGCAUACCGGUAGUUAAUAUCCAUGCGUACAAACAUUACAAAAAUACAAACUUGAAUCGGGGAGGGGGAACCCCUUCGUCUAAGCUUAACUGCACUGUUCUGUAUACGAGCUUCGAAUGACAAUAUUCUUUAACUUACUUCAACAAGAAAGUUAUUCGCGUUUAAUAUAUCCCGUGCUAUUUACAUAUCAAAUAUCAUACUCAAUAUAUUUAUACACUGCGACGAAUAUGGACCAAUCUGAAAUAUAUAUUUAAAACACAAAGCUGUUUAUCUAAUAUAAAACACCAAUAGAUGACCACUAUAAAGACACACACGCAUGUGUUGGUUGUUUAUUUUUUUUUACAUUAACAGAAACACGUAUUUGCUCAACUUUGAUAAACACAUGUAUGUUAUACAAUACUUAAUAAAAGACCUUAAGCAAAGGGGCAUCAUUGAUAUGUCAUGAUUAGUUAUUGAUAUACUAUAUUUUUUUAUGAUUUAUCUACAAAGUCUAUAAGAGGCUUUUGAGAAACUUCAAUCACCAUUAAAAUAGAUACAAAAAAAAUCACAUCAGGAGAUUACAAAUGUAUAUUUGUAGAGAAAAUACAGCAAGUCAUACUGAAAUCAUUAUAAGAGACGACAUAAUUAUCACAGCAAGACAUGUUUCAAUAAUAAAAACACACGACAUAUAUACUCAAUUGCAGUCAAUUAUAAAAUCCAUGCCGUGAACACUUUCAAGUUAGAUAAUUUCUUUUGUAUCAAGAAAAAAGAACAUGUGCAACAAAAUGUGUAUUUACACUUUAUCAAUCUUUUGCAAAAAAUAAAAAUUAAAAGCAUUUUUUACAUAGUAUUGUGCUUUUGAAUUACGGAGACAUUGAACGUUGAGAAAUGUUUGCAAAUACUAGACGUCAAUAUUAAAUGCAGUAAUUAUAACGUGUAUAAUUUUUCAGAUGGGAUCGCAACUGAAUACAACUGUCACCAUAGUUUGUAUCGUCUUGAUAUUGAUGGAAGGAACAUACGCUGUUGUCUGCACAAAGCAAUGUAUUACGAAUGCACUUCUAUGGUCUAAUGCAUGUGACUCCAAUUAUCAUCGUUAUGAUGAAUACAGAAAAUGUGUGGAAGCCUGUCGAGUGACAUGUUUUAAGUGUGUGCUAGAAUGCGAGAGAGACUCUACCUACAAGUGCAAAGAUUACUUUAAUCUUAUUUGAAACAUUAAUUUCCAUUGGUUAGAAUUAUUUCUUCUAUACAUUUGUGUAUAUAAACUCUGACUAUACUAGUUUUAACAAGCUUGUCUUCAUAGGUGAAUAAUAAAGAUUCCGAUAAUAAAUUAAUUAACCAGAAAGGAUAUUACGAUAAUAAUAAUACUUUUAUGUACUUUUGUAUGAAUCUUUUUCGUUGGUUCUCUUGUUAUGUAUGCUUUUAAAUUUGCCAGCUUCCGUUACAGGUUACACAAAAUAUGACACUCAUAGUAACUACAUUCGAUAUCUAGUUCAGUAUUCAGGAUCUUAUCUUAAAUUCUUUUUUAUCGACCUGACAAAAGGGAGACACUUGAUUUAAGGUUGCUUACAAAACGAACGAGAUGCCAAACAGUAACACCAUCACGUCACCAUACUGUAUGUAUGUAUUAAAAAACGACAAAACAAAUUUAAAACAAAACAUUGCUCCGAAAAGAAAGGACCGCAUCAAAAACCAAGGGUGAACUCGUG
rnacentral:lncRNA from 1 species